rnacentral:rRNA from 1 species
UACGUAGGUGACAAGCGUUGUCCGGCUUUACUGGGCGUAAAGAGCGCGCAGGCGGUCGGUCAAGUCGAGUGUGAAAGCCCCCGGCUCAACUGGGGAGGGUCAUUCGAUACUGAUCGACUCGAAGGCAGGAGAGGGUAGUGGAAUUCCCGGUGUAGUGGUGAAAUGCGUAGAUAUCGGGAGGAACACCAGUGGCGAAGGCGACUACCUGGCCUGUUCUUGACGCUGAGGUGCGAAAGCUAGGGGAGCAAACGGG